UACGUAGGGUGCGAGCGUUGUCCGGAAUUACUGGGCGUAAAGAGCUCGUAGGUGGUUUGUCGCGUUGUUCGUGAAAACUCACAGCUUAACUGUGGGCGUGCGGGCGAUACGGGCAGACUAGAGUACUGCAGGGGAGACUGGAAUUCCUGGUGUAGCGGUGGAAUGCGCAGAUAUCAGGAGGAACACCGGUGGCGAAGGCGGGUCUCUGGGCCGAUACUGACGCUGAGGAGCGAAAGCGUGGGGGAGCGAACAGG
rnacentral:rRNA from 1 species